AUGAUUUUAACCUAUUCUUUCUUUUCUAUUUGUAAUUUUUUUAAAAGAGCAUAAUAAUGUGAUAGAAGAUUCCUUACGAAGUAGCUUGGGUAUUAAUUGCUGGCCAAUUUCUUGGAAAUGCAAGAAUUUAAAUUUUACAUUGGUUUGCUGUUUCGUUUCGAAUACCCAUUUGUGGGAAUUCUCAGUUUUGAUUUCUGGGUGUUCAGUUUUGUGUGGA
rnacentral:misc_RNA from 1 species